rnacentral:misc_RNA from 1 species
CAAAGUUCAAGUUGUAUAGGCAAACAAGACAAGAAAGAGGAUUAAAGCCACAGGAUAAUGAAACGGCACAGAAUGGAGUGUAUACCGUCUCGACAUCAAUCCGGUCCAUUUUUUUCAAUUUCUGCAAGUGUCCAGUUACAGCAGGGUCAAAUACACUGCCGAUGAAAUUGUAUACUUGAGCAAAGUCUGGCAGAACUCUCAGUGAGGGUACUUGAGUCCUCUCCAUCACCUUAACUGUUGAUUUUGAUCUUGGAGUGCUUCCAUUACUACUGCAGCAACGGUUAUUGGUGAUUGGCUGACCUGUUUCUCUCACUUUGUCUUUCUUCAUUUGUGACAAACUAACUGGUGGCGCAGAGUUG